CAGUCGCCACGGUAAUACGUAGGGUGCAAGCGUUAAUCGGAAUUACUGGGCGUAAAGCGUGCGCAGGCGGUUUGUUAAGACAGAUGUGAAAUCCCCGGGCUCAACCUGGGAACUGCAUUUGUGACUGGCAAGCUAGAGUGUGGCAGAGGGGGGUGGAGUUCCGCGUGUAGCAGUGAAAUGCGUAGAUAUGCGGAGGAACACCGAUGGCGAAGGCAGCCCCCUGGGCCAACACUGACGCUCAUGCACGAAAGCGUGGGGAGCAAACAGGAUUAGAUACCCCCGUAGUCCCUGUCUCUUAUAC
rnacentral:rRNA from 1 species